CAUUUUAAAAGAAUAUAAAGGC
rnacentral:piRNA from 1 species